rnacentral:rRNA from 1 species
GACAGAGGGUGCAAACGUUGUUCGGAAUUACUGGGCGUAAAGCGCGUGUAGGCUGUUCGGAAAGUCGGAUGUGAAAGCCCUGGGCUCAACCCAGGAAGUGCAUUCGAAACUCCCGAACUGGAGUCCUGGAGAGGAAGGCGGAAUUCUCGGUGUAGAGGUGAAAUUCGUAGAUAUCGGGAAGAAUACCGGUGGCGAAGGCGUUCUGCUGGGCCGUUGCUGACGCUGAGGCGCGACAGCGUGGGGAGCAAACGGG